AUGGUACUCCCUCCGUCCGGAAUUACUUAUCGCAAAAAUGGAUAGAAAUGAAUGUAUCUAGAACAAAAAUACGUUUAGAUACAUUCAUUAUUGUGACAAGUAAUUCAGGACGGAGGGAGUAGCUA
rfam:Triticum aestivum genome assembly, contig: Triticum_aestivum_CS42_TGACv1_scaffold_146738_2BS